rnacentral:ncRNA from 1 species
CUAUAGUUCCGAUGCAGCCGCAAAAUCGGCUGUCGGGAUUGGAACCCCGGAUA